rnacentral:rRNA from 1 species
GUGAACGAGAAUUUUCAGUUGAUUUCUUCGGAAUGAAACGGAAAAAGGAAAGUAGCGAACGGGUGAGUAACACGUGAGAAACCUGCCUUUCACAAAGGGAUAGCCUCGGGAAACCGGGAUUAAUACCUUAUGAUACAUUAAUAUCGCAUGAUGUAAAUGUUAAAGAAUUUCGGUGAAGGAUGGUCUCGCGUCUGAUUAGCUAGUUGGUAAGGUAGUGGCUUACCAAGGCAACGAUCAGUAGCCGGAUUGAGAGGUUGAACGGCCACACUGGAACUGAGACACGGUCCAGACUCCUACGGGAGGCAGCAGUGGGGAAUUUUGCACAAUGGGGGAAACCCUGAUGCAGCGACGCCGCGUGAACGAUGAAGGUCUUCGGAUUGUAAAGUUCUGUCCUUAGCGAAGAUAAUGACAGUAGCUAAGAAGCAAGCCCUGGCUAAAUACGUGCCAGCAGCCGCGGUAAUACGUAUGGGGCAAGCGUUGUCCGGAAUUAUUGGGCGUAAAGGGUAUGUAGGCGGUUAAUUAAGUCUGAAUUUAAAGGCUGUGGCUCAACCACAGGUUCGGUUUGAGAAACUGGUUAACUUGAGUACCAUGAGGGGAAAGUUGGAAUGUCCAUGUGUAGCGGGUGAUAUGCGGUAGAGUAUAUGGAGGAACACCAGUGGCAGAUAGGCUGACUUUCUAGAAUGCUGAACUGGACCGGAUGGAGAUACGAGAGGCGAUGGUGUAGCAAACAGGUAUUAGUAUACCCGUGGGUAGUCCAGCGCUAGUCCCCCAUGAGUGCU